CCUACGGGCGGCAGCAGUGAGGAAUAUUGGUCAAUGGACGGAAGUCUGAACCAGCCAUGCCGCGUGCAGGAAGACGGCUCUAUGAGUUGUAAACUUCUUUUAUACAAGGGUAAACCUGAAUACGUGUGUUCAUCUGAAAGUACUUUCUGAAUAAGGAUCGGCUAACUCCGUGCCAGCAGCCGCGGUAAUACGGAGGAUCCAAGCGUUAUCCGGAUUUAUUGGGUUUAAAGGGUGCGUAGGUGGAUUGAUAAGUGAGAGGUGAAAUGUUCGGGCUUAACUCGGAAAUUGCCUUUAAUACUGGCGGUCUAGAGUGUAGAUGCGGUAGGCGGAAUGUGUGGUGUAGCGGUGAAAUGCUUAGAGAUCACGCAGAACACCGAUUGCGAAGGCAGCUUACUAAGCUAUAACUGACGUUGAGGCACGAAAGCGUGGGGAUCAAACAGGAUUAGAUACCCCGGUAGUC
rnacentral:rRNA from 1 species